CUGUAUUUCAAUCCAUGUGCCUCACACACUACAUUUACAAGACCAGUCAGAAAGCAUUACGAAGGAUAGUCUGGCAGGGGAAAUGUUAAUGUAGCAUGACUGUGGGCUGUAAGACCACGUUUGCUGAAGGCUGUUUCUGGUCACAUGCUAAUGUGGGGGAGGGAGAGAAGCAGCGCUUUUUUUCUUCUUUUGGGUUCUGCAGUAAGACCGCACAGAAGUAGUGAAAUAUUUAAAUUGACACUACGAUACACAUACGAUGCACU